UAUGUGCUUGGCUGAGGAGCCAAUGGG
rnacentral:piRNA from 3 species